ACAGCAGCAGCCACGGUAAUACGAAGGGGGCUAGCGUUGCUCGGAAUGACUGGGCGUAAAGGGCGCGUAGGCGGCGAUCAAAGUCAGGCGUGAAAUUCCUGGGCUCAACCUGGGGGCUGCGCUUGAUACUUGGUUGCUUGAGUGGGGAAGAGGGUCGUGGAAUUCCCAGUGUAGAGGUGAAAUUCGUAGAUAUUGGGAAGAACACCGGUGGCGAAGGCGGCGACCUGGUCCUUGACUGACGCUGGUGCGCGAAAGCGUGGGGAGCAAACAGGAUUAGAUACCCCUGUAGUCCCUGUCUCUUAUAC
rnacentral:rRNA from 1 species